CCUUUGGACACAGUGGUUUGUGUAUCCCUUAUCAAUUAUGGUGACCACAAUGAGCAUUGAGACACGUUGUGAUUUCCCUGGAAUAGUCUUCAUAAGAAUGCAUCUGUAUUUCUAUUAAUUUCUGUAUUAAUAGAAAUCUUCAUAAGCUGGUUUGGCAGUUCUAUUUCCUGCUUUUCAGCCACUCUGUGUCUAGUCAUUGCUUAGAGUAACCAUUUGGCUAAGACAGAAGUCUCUAAUUUCUGUGAUGAUUCAAUCUGGUGACUCAAUAAUGCUUAGAGAAAACUGUAGCUGAAGAGCAUCUCACUGACCUCUCCUUUAGUUGACCGGGAUGGGAGUAGAAGGUGUGAAUCCCUUAUUUUUUUCACCCUUUAGAGAAUUUUGACCCAAAUGUAUAUGUUAGUUGUCUAUUGCUACAAAACAAAUUACCCCAGAACUGUGAGUCAGAAUUUAGGGAGCAGCUUAGCUGGUGGCUCUGGUUGGAGUCUCUCAUGAAUUGCGGUCAGGAUUUCAGCUGGCAUUCCGCUCUCUGAAGGCUUGAUUGGAGCUGGAGGAUCUACUUUAAGGUGCCUCACUCACCGCUGGCAAGUUGAACUGGUUAUUGGUGUGACGUUUCGGUUCCUCCCCAUGUGGGUCUCUCCACGGGACUGCUUGAGUGUCCUCACAACAUGGUAGCUGGAUUCACCCAAAAUGAGGGAUCCAAGAGACAAAGACGGAAGCAACAAUGCCUUUCAUCACUUAAGUCUCGGAAAUCAUGUACUGUAACCUGCAGGGUGCUCUAUUGGUCACAAAGACCACCCUGAGUCAAUGUGGGAGGAGAAUACAUACGAGCGUGAAUACCAGGAGACCAGCCCUGAGCCAACUGCUGCCAAUCCUCCUCUUUUUGCUGAGGAAGACUGGCCCUGAGCUAACAUCCAUGCCCAUCUUCCUCUAGUUGAUAUGUGGGACGCCUGCCACAGCAUGGCUUGCCAAGCGGUGCCAUGUCCGCACCUGGGAUCCGAACUGGUGAACCCAGGGCCACCGAAGCGGAAUGUGCACACCCAACCGCUGCGCCACUGGGCUGGCCCAAUGAUUUUCUUUAUUUAAAACAUUUUUUCAUUUUAAAAGAAAUUUUAGUCUAAUUUGUAUAAUCUCAUAAUCCUAACUUAGCAACUAUAAUUAUUUUUUAU
rnacentral:lncRNA from 1 species